AUGAGUUAUAUUCACUUGUAUCAAACCUGAAGUCGGUGGCAGACAGUUGACAUCAGCUAGGAUGAUGUUAGUGAUUCGUCUCUGGAGAGGGUAUCUCAACUAGUUUUCUAAAAGUGCUCAUCUUCCACUUUUCUGAAGAGUUGUCCCAAUGAAAAACCGCGGAGUCUCCAUCUUACUUAUGCUGCUAAUGGUCCAAGCAGUGGCAGCUGAUAACUGGUGUUAUAUCGCGCCCCUUGUGGGUGCGGGAGCAGCCAUGGGAGCCACAGUGCAGUCAGUCGGCGCCAAAACCAUCCACGGCUUCAAAGGGGUGGUAACCGCCGGCACGGCUGGCAUAGCGGGCGCCCUCGUCGCGUCCUAUCUAUUCCCCUGUGACUGUGGCUGUUUGGAGGUUGAAUGAGACAUAUCCCCAUUAAAGCUAGGAUCACCAAACUGACUUUUGAAGGCGCCUUCAUAUCACAAAAGGAUGACAUGAUGCCAGGAAUAAGAUUUCAUGAUAAACGGCGGGAAUUUUUGUCGGUAAUAAGAUACGGCAACUUUACAAAGAAAGGUUUCAUUUCAGCUUCCUCGACAUCAAACUUAUAAUAACAGGAAAUUGUUUAAAGUCACGCUCUAUUAAUGUCCUUCAAGUGAGUAUGUUAUUGUAACCAAGUUUACUUGGAAUUUUGAGAUACUGUUACUUCUAUCAGCUUCAUUCCAAGUUUCAAACCCUUGAUUCUAUUCUCGUGGCUAUGAGCACACUUAUGGCCACACAUCUGAGCAUAACUUGGACAACCAGUAGACUUCACCUUUCGCGCUGGAAACAAACAGCCUCAGUUAGGUCUAUUUGUCACUCUAACAGCAAUUAUUUUAUUUGCUGAAGGGCUGCGAUAUACACGUGUAGGUUUAUGUCAUUUCAAGCCUCUUAUUUAUUAAUUUUAUUCACAAACAGAAAUUCAAAAUUCCUGCUGAACGGUUCGCCAGUAGAUUAUCUUCUAGUGCCUAGCGUGCCAUUGUUCGUCGACAUGAUGAACUCAUUUUCCCACGAUAAUGAGGCCGUUCGGGUCGUGCAAAGGUUUUUCUUCACCAGCGUCUAUAUACAUAUAUGGGCCUGUGCCCCGAAAUGUAUGGCGUUAGUGACAAAAAAACCUGCUUGUUCACGUGAAACGAAUCUUGUUACAAGUAGAUCAUAUGUAUCUGGUGCAGAAUGUAAGUCUCGAAUAACAAUAGUCAUUGCCCCAGUCAUGUUGGCUUGAAAGUAAGGUUUUUCAUAUUUCUGUUAAUAGUUAUUAACCCUUCUCUCGUUUACAAACGUUCUCACUGUUAAGUAUGAGAGGCAAAAGUUUGCUGAAAGUA